rnacentral:rRNA from 1 species
UACGGAAGGCAGCAGUGGGGAAUAUUGCACAAUGGGCGCAAGCCUGAUGCAGCCAUGCCGCGUGUAUGAAGAAGGCCUUCGGGUUGUAAAGUACUUUCAGUCGUGAGGAAGGUGUUAAGGUUAAUAACCUUAGCAAUUGACGUUAGCGACAGAAGAAGCACCGGCUAACUCCGUGCCAGCAGCCGCGGUAAUACGGAGGGUGCGAGCGUUAAUCGGAAUUACUGGGCGUAAAGGGCACGCAGGCGGUUAAUUAAGUUGGAUGUGAAAUCCCCGGGCUUAACCUGGGAAUGGCAUUCAAGACUGGUUAGCUAGAGUCUUGUAGAGGGGGUAGAAUUCCAUGUGUAGCGGUGAAAUGCGUAGAGAUGUGGAGGAAUACCGGUGGCGAAAGGCGGCCCCUGGACAAAAGGACUGACGCUCAUGUGCGAAAAGCGUGGGGAGCAAAACAGGGAUUAGAUACC